rnacentral:rRNA from 1 species
UGAGGGAAUAUUGGGUCAAUGGGGCGAAAGCCUGAACCAGCCAAGUAGCGUGCAGGAUGACGGCCCUAUGGGUUGUAAACUGCUUUUAGGCGGGGGUAAAGUGGCGGACGUGUUCCGCCUUUGCAAGUACCGCCAGAAAAAGGACCGGCUAAUUCCGUGCCAGCAGCCGCGGUAAUACGGAAGGUCCGGGCGUUAUCCGGAUUUAUUGGGUUUAAAGGGAGCGUAGGCGGGCUAUUAAGUCAGCUGUGAAAUCCGGCGGCUCAACCGUCGGCCUGCAGUUGAUACUGGUGGUCUUGAGUGCGCGCAGGGGCG